rnacentral:rRNA from 1 species
GAAGGCCCCVCUGUYUUAAGAGAAUUCCCAGUGAAAUUGAAUUCGUAGUGAAGAUGCUACGUCCAAUUUGUUAGACGAAAAGACCCCAUUGAGCUUUACUGGAGACUUACAUUGCUCGGAUCGAYUCUCGCCCCCAGGGGGGGGGUMGAAUUUAAAUGGAUAGCUUAGAUUAUGUGGUGUCAUAACCAUYGAUCAAGUAGUCCCUAYGGGAUUGCCCSGAAGGUAGACCUGUUUGGGUGAAUGAAACCCCACUCUUUUAUGUUAAAUGAGCUAACCCUUUCUCUCUUAAGGGGGACAAUGUAAGUUGGACAGUUUGGKUGGGGCGACCGCCUUUUCAAGAGUAACGAAGGUGUGCUUAAGGUACMCAAUUAAUAUCAGUAKCCUGACUGCGAGGGGGAUUCCCCCGAGCAGACWCCUAAAGUCUUCUCUCUUCCCCCCCGAAGGUUAAAGACGAAUGGUGGGUUAUAGUGACCCGUUAAUUUAGAGUGGAAUAGUUAACGAUCAACAAAUAAAA